CGACGAUCAGUAGGGGUUCUGAGAGGAAGGUCCCCCACAUUGGAACUGAGACACGGUCCAAACUCCUACGGGAGGCAGCAGUGAGGAAUAUUGGUCAAUGGGCGAGAGCCUGAACCAGCCAAGUCGCGUGAAGGAUGACUGUCUUAUGGAUUGUAAACUUCUUUUAUACGGGAAUAACAAGAGCCACGUGUGGCUCCCUGCAUGUACCGUAUGAAUAAGCAUCGGCUAACUCCGUGCCAGCAGCCGCGGUAAUACGGAGGAUGCGAGCGUUAUCCGGAUUUAUUGGGUUUAAAGGGUGCGUAGGUUGUUCGGUAAGUCAGCGGUGAAACCUGAGCGCUCAACGUUCAGCCUGCCGUUGAAACUGCCGGGCUUGAGUUCAGUGGCGGCAGGCGGAAUUCGUGGUGUAGCGGUGAAAUGCAUAGAUAUCACGAGGAACUCCGAUUGCGAAGGCAGCUUGCCAUACUGCGACUGACACUGAAGCACGAAGGCGUGGGUAUCAAACAGGAUUAGAUACCCUGGUAGUCCACGCAGUAAACGAUGAUUACUAGGAGUUUGCGAUAUACCGUCAAGCUUCCACAGCGAAAGCGUUAAGUAAUCCACCUGGGGAGUACGCCGGCAACGGUGAAACUCAAAGGAAUUGACGGGGGCCCGCACAAGCGGAGGAACAUGUGGUUUAAUUCGAUGAUACGCGAGGAACCUUACCCGGGCUUGAAUUGCAGGAGAACGAUCUAGAGAUAGUGAGGUCCUUCGGGACUCCUGUGAAGGUGCUGCAUGGUUGUCGUCAGCUCGUGCCGUGAGGUGUCGGCUUAAGUGCCAUAACGAGCGCAACCCCUGUCUUCAGUUGCCAUCAGGUAAUGCUGGGCACUCUGUAGAUACUGCCACCGUAAGGUGUGAGGAAGGUGGGGAUGACGUCAAAUCAGCACGGCCCUUACGUCCGGGGCUACACACGUGUUACAAUGGCGUGUACAGCGAGUCGGUACCGGGCAACCGGUAUCCAAUCAAAAAAACACGUCUCAGUUCGGACUGGGGUCUGCAACCCGACCCCACGAAGCUGGAUUCGCUAGUAAUCGCGCAUCAGCCAUGGCGCGGUGAAUACGUUCCCGGGCCUUGUACACACCGCCCGUCAAGCCAUGGGAGUCUGGAGUACCUAAAGUCCGUAACCGCGAGGGUCGGCCUAGGGUAAUACAGGUGACUGGGGCUAAGUCGUAACAAGGUAGCCGUACCGGAAGGUGCGGCUG
rnacentral:rRNA from 1 species